AGAGUUUGAUCAUGGCUCAGAAUGAACGCUGGCGGCGUGCUUAACACAUGCAAGUCGAACGAGAAAGCCGAAAGCUUGCUUUUGGCGAGUAAAGUGGCGCACGGGUGAGUAACGCGUGGGUAAUCUGCCUUCAAAUUCGGGAUAACACAUCGAAAGGUGUGCUAAUACCGGAUAACAUCUUUUUGGCUUCGGUUAAAGAGAUCAAAGAUAGCCUCUACAUGUAAGCUAUUGUUUGAAGAUGAGCCCGCGUACCAUUAGCUUGUUGGUGGGGUAACGGCCUACCAAGGCGACGAUGGUUAGCUGGUCUGAGAGGAUGAUCAGCCACACUGGAACUGGAACACGGUCCAGACUCCUACGGGAGGCAGCAGUGAGGAAUUUUGCGCAAUGGGGGAAACCCUGACGCAGCAACGCCGCGUGAGUGAUGAAGGCUUUCGGGUCGUAAAGCUCUGUCAAGUGGGAAGAACCUGCAUAUAUUUAAUAGGUAUAUGCACUGACGGUACCACUGAAGGAAGCACCGGCUAACUCCGUGCCAGCAGCCGCGGUAAUACGGAGGGUGCAAGCGUUAUUCGGAUUUACUGGGCGUAAAGGGCGCGUAGGCGGUUUGAUAAGUCAGUUGUGAAAGCCCGGGGCUCAACCCCGGAAGUGCAAUUGAAACUGUCAGGCUUGAGUAUGGUAGAGGGAAGUGGAAUUCCAGGUGUAGCGGUGAAAUGCGUAGAUAUCUGGAGGAACACCGGUGGCGAAGGCGACUUCCUGGACCAAUACUGACGCUGAGGCGCGAAGGUGUGGGUAGCAAACAGGAUUAGAUACCCUGGUAGUCCACGCCGUAAACGAUGAUGACUCGCUGUUGGCGAUAUACCGAUCAGCGGCUUAGCGAAAGCGUUAAGUCAUCCACCUGGGGAGUACGCUCGCAAGAGUGAAACUCAAAGGAAUUGACGG
rnacentral:rRNA from 1 species